rnacentral:misc_RNA from 1 species
ACGUCAUCCCCACCUUCCUCCGAGUUGACCCCGGCAGUCUCCUAUGAGUUCCCGCCAUCACGCGCUGGCAACAUAGAACGAGGGUUGCGCUCGUUGCGGGACUUAACCCAACAUCUCACGACACGAGCUGACGACAACCAUGCACCACCUGUAUACCUGUCUUGCGAGGAGACUGUUUCCAGCCUUUGCAGGUAUAUGUCAAGCCUUGGUAAGGUUCUUCGCGUUGCAUCGAAUUAAUCCGCAUGCUCCGCCGCUUGUGCGGGCCCCCGUCAAUUCCUUUGAGUUUUAGCCUUGCGGCCGUACUCCCCAGGCGGGGAACUUAAUGCGUUAGCUGCGACACGGAAUCCGUGGAAUGGACCCCACAUCUAGUUCCCAACGUUUACGGCGUGGACUACCAGGG